UACAGAGGUGGCAAGCGUUAUUCGGAUUUAUUGGGCGUAAAGGGUGUGUAGACGGUUCAUUAAGUCAUUUGUUUAAUCCUCCGGCCUAACCGGAGUACAGCAGGUGAAACUAGUAGACUUGAGGGUGGAAGAGAGAAGUGGAAUUCUCGGAGUAGCGGUAAAAUGCGUAGAUCUCGAGAGGAACACCAAUGGCGAAGGCAGCUUCUUGGUCCAUACCUGACGUUGAAACACGAAAGCGUGGGGAGCAAACAGG
rnacentral:rRNA from 1 species